CUGAGUUUUCGAACUCCCAAACCUUUGUGAACAUACCUACGUUGCUUCGGCGGGAUCGUCCCGGGCGCGCCCCUCGCGGGCGUGUUCCGGAUCCAGGCGCCCGCCGAGGACCUCAAACUCUUGUUUUUAUAGUGGACUUCUGAGUAACAUGAUAAAAUAAAUCA
rnacentral:misc_RNA from 1 species